rnacentral:rRNA from 1 species
CGGGUGAAAUCCCCGGCCGCCGUAAACCCGAGGUUUCCAGGGCAACGUGUUUCGUCCCUGGGUUAGCCGGGACCUAAGCCGAGGCCGAGAGGCGUAGGCGAUGGACAUCAGGUUAAUAAUCCUGAGCUCGCAACCCUUAAACUGGGGGGACGCAUGAGAAAAGAUGACUAGGUUAUUGAAUUCCGAGUUGAGUCCACGGACUCAGCGCAUCAUUGGAUCGAGUGCCAAGAAAAGCCCCAGCGUAUGCUAAGCGACCCGUACCGCAAACCGACACAGGUGGGUGGGUAGAAUAUACCAAGGCGUAAGAGUGAAACCUGGUUAAGGAACUCGGCAAAUUAGCCCCGUAACUUCGGAAGAAGGGGUGCCUGCAGCGAUGCAGGCCGCAGAGAAAUGGCCCAACCGACUGUUUAUCAAAAACACAGCACUCUGCAAAGACGCAAGUCGAAGUAUAGGGUGUGACACGUGACCAAUGCCGAAAGAUUAAGGCAAGGGGUUAGCCGCAAGGCGAAGCUCUAAACCCAAGUCCCGGUGAAUGUCGGCCGUAACUAUAACGGUCCUAAGGUAGCGAAAUUCCUUGUCGGGUAAGUUCCGACCUGCACGAAUCGUGAAACGAGUUGGGCACUGUCUCAGCCAGGCGCUCAGUGAAAUUGUAGUGGCGGUGAAGAUGCCGCCUACCCGCUGAAGGACGGAAAGACCCUAUAGACCUUAACUGUAAGCUGUCAUUGUUUCUUCGGUUUUAAUGCUCAGAGUAAGUGGGAGACGCUGAAGACGCCCUUUAGGGGGCGUCCGAGUCAUCAAUGAGACACCACCCUUUGAAACUGGAGGAUCUAACCCUGAGCCGUGAAUCCGGCCAGAGGACCGUGUCAGCCGGUCAGUUUUACUGGGGCGGUAUCCUCCCAAAGAGUAACGGAGGAGCGCGAAGGUGGGCUCAGCCCGGUUGGCAACCGGGUGUCGAGUGCAUGGGCAUAAGCCCGCCUAACUGUGAGACCAACAAGUCGAGCAGAUGCGAAAGCAGGCCCAAGUGAUCCGGCGGUAGAAAGUGGAAUCGCCGUCGCUCAACGGAUAAAAGGUACCUUAGGGAUAACAGGCUGAUCACGCCCAAGAGUUCAUAUCGACGGCGUGGUUUGGCACCUCGAUGUCGGCUCGUCGCAUCCUGGGGCUGGAGAAGGUCCCAAGGGUCCGGCUGUUCGCCGGUUAAAGCGGCACGCGAGCUGGGUUCAGAACGUCGCGAGACAGUUCGGUCCUCUAUCCUCUGUGGGCGUUGGAAAAUUGGGGGGUUCAGACCUUAGUACGAGAGGACCGGGUCUGACGCACCACUGGUGCAUCGGUUGUACUGUCAAGUGCAUGGCCGAGUAGCUAAGUGCGGACGGGAUAAGCGCUGAAAGCAUCUAAGCGCCAAGCCCUUCCCAAGAUGAGUUUUCCCUACAGGUUCGUGGAAGACCACCACGUUGAUAGGUCGCAGGUGUAAGUGCAGCAAUGUAUUGAGCCGAGCGAUACUAAUUAUC